AAUAUAAUUAUCUUGGUCUAACUUAUACUGUUUAUUAUACCGCUAUUUGCAGCAAUAUCUUUCUCUGCUCCGAUUGCAACGCUGUCUCGUUCAAAAAUCAUAACACCGACGCGCCGCCACGUUUGCCAGCCGGAGCCUCAAAUCAUGUCCCUUUGUGGUGAUAAAGAGGACACAGCCUGGUGUGAAGCUACAUUUAUUACGGAAGGAUGCCAGCCGGGAUCCGAACAUGUCCGAUAUCAUCCAAGAGAAUGUGGCAGCUGAAGGGGGAGAGGCCAAGGGUGAAGACAUUUAGCCACCCCCCCUGAAGUACGUGGCAGCAUUCAACCCUCUUGGUGAGCUGCAGGAAUGUGCUUCCCAUUGCAGUGCACCAGCUCCAUGCACUGAUUUUGGGUGUGAACUUGAUGGGGUUGGAGGCAACUCGACUCGGUCAUCAAGCUCACCACAAUAUAACAUGAAAAGUGAAAAUUGCUGCACACAACAGUCUGCCGUCUGCACCGGGAGGCAAGGCAGCUCAAAGCCCAGGCUGUUACAACUCCUGGGCAGUUUUUGUCCAGAGCCAGCAAUUUUUUAGAUCCAAUAGGGAUGGAUUUUUUCUGAGGUCAGGUUCAACAUGCUGCAAGAUGCCAAGAUCUAAGCCUAGUAGGAGAUAUGGGUUACAAGAGAGGAGGUUUGCUCUGGCCUUAUACUAUCAAAGGCCAAAUGCUAAUAGAUUUCUAAGCACAGUAUUUCACUUGCAUUCAGUUUCAAUACUUCACUUAUGACUCAGGGGUAUUUCAGUAAAUGUUGGCUGGAGCAAACACUGACAGCCCUGCAGCAAAGAGCACAGGCUUUGUCAAAAGAAGAGAAACUUCAUGGGAUUUGCCAUUAUUUAGUAUUACUCUUGUUACGCCAAGAAUAUUUUUCCAUAUACUUUGCCAAAUAUUGCAAGUAAUGCACCAUUGUUGGGCUUGCUUGUUAUAAAUCAGAUCUUGUUCAAUUAACAAGCUUUGGGUGUCUGCCACUUUCCAGUUGUAAUGCAAGGAAUCAUUUAUCUCCCCUGCCAGAUAUCACAUGUAAUGCACCAUUGUUGGUAUUGCCUGUUAUAAAUCAGAUCUUGUUCAAUUAACAAGCUUUGAGUGUCUGCCACUUUCCAGUUGUAAUGCAAGGAAUCAUUUAUCUUCCCUGCCAGAUAUCACAUGUAAUGCACCAUUGUUGGUUUUGCCUUUUUUUUACGUCGUUGCCUGUUGCGCCGGUAGGCAUCUUCCUGGUGGGGCCUGAUGGUCGGCCCAAGGCUUCUUCCAGGUGGGGCCUGAUGGUCGGGCCAGCCCGUUCUGGCGCAGGCGAGUGUUUAUAGUGGCGCCAUCUUGCAUUGGCUCAUGCUGCCCCCCGGAACUCGUUCUUGAUUCGCUUGGACGGCUUCCUCUAGAGUCCGGGUUGAUGGGUGGUCUUCAGGACAGCAUGUGGGUAGUUUUAAGCCACUCGGCGGUGACUGAAAAAUCUGAGUGGUAGCGUGGGGAUUCGAACCCGCAUCGUCCAUCACGCGGUGAAAGUGGGCCCAGUACGCUACCAGGUCGGCCACCGCCUGUUAUAAAUCAGAUCUUGUUCAGUUAACAAGCUUUAGGUGUCUGCCACUUUCCAGUUGUAAUGCAAGGAAUCCCCUGCCAGAUGUCGCAUGUAAUGCACCAUUGAUGGUUUUGCCUAUUAUAAAUCAGAACUUGUUCAGCUCACAAGCUUUGAAUAUCUGCCAUUGUUCAUUUCAGGUGUAAUGGUUGGAAGCAUUUGUUCUCUUCCCUACCCAACAGUAUGCAAUGCUUUAUUGUGAAUUUUGCCUGUUAUGUUUAAUCUUGUUCAGGUAACAAGUUUUUGGUGUCUGCCUUACCUAAUAAUUAUGUGCUGCAGUGACACUUGGCUUGGUUUCAUAAUGUGAAAUACAGCAUGUAAUUUCAUCACACUAAGUGUCUAUCAUCACGUGUCUGGCAUCAUUAAUGUGGCUUCCAGGAGUAAUCUUGUUUGUAUUACAGCAUGCAAUUUUUUUUCUGCUUUAUAGGAUAUACAUAAACCUUGUGAAAAAUAAUGCUUUUUUGAGGGGGUGGGGGAUGGACAGAGUGGUUUGUUUGAUUGGCCAGUUCAAGGAGUUUCAUAUCAAAUGAUUUUAUUAUAUCCAACUUUAAUGUGUGCUAAAAACAUAUAUUUUAUUACAUCCAACUUUAAUGUGUGGUUCCUGCAAUAAAUGCUACAUGUUUACUGAUGUAGACUAUAAAAUACAUAUCACUCUCUGCCCUGUAAUUUGGUGUGUCACAUACUGCAGCAUAACUUUCCUGAUAUUUUCUUACACUAUGAGUUGUCUUAUUUUGCCUCAUUUGCUUUUAUCAUAUGUGCCUCCGCUGCAUAGUUGUGCCUACUGAGCUUAAUAUCUUCAUGACCCUGACACCAAGGUCAGAGCCUGUGAGAUCUUACCGUGUCCUACAUCCCAUUUUCACCUCCAGGCUCGCCUGUCUCCCAGGACCACCAAGUUAUUGCAUUCCAUUUACGACAACUCAUGUGUUACCUUCUUGAUGUCCUCCAUCAUGUAUUUCAGCAUGUUUUAUGAUGCCUUACUCUUAUAUUGAUGUGCCUUGCAACAUUUUUAUACAGUUUUUAUUGUAACGCACCAUUGUUGGUUUUGUCUGUUAUAAAUCGGGUCAUGUUCAGUUAACAAGCUUUGAGUGUCUCCCAUUGUCUAUUUCAGCUGUAAUGCUUAGAAGCUUUUGUUCUCUGCCCUGUCAAACAGUAUGCAAUGCUUGCCAUUAUUUGGCACUUGUACAGUUUGUAUGAUAUUUUUACUCAGCUAAGAGCAUGUUGCAAAAGGUAAAGGUACGGUUGGGGGCAUACGCUGUAGCAGCG